ACCAGCAACUUGGAGGAAUGUAUAGCGAUAGCUAAUUGCAUCGAAAAUAUGAUGCAAGAUCGAUUUAUUGAAUAAAAUUCUGGGUAGAAUUAUGAUUAUGACAUUGUCUACCCAUGUGUCUUGACCAAAUUACGUGCCAGCAGUCGCGGUAAUACGUAGAAGACUAGUGUUAUUCAUCUUUAAUAGGUUUAAAGGGUACCUAGACGGUAAAUCAAGCCCUAGACGGGACUAAUUUGCUAGAGUUACUUGUGAGGGGGUUUUAAAGUACUAAUGGUGUAGAGAUGAAAUUUUGUAAUACCAUUUUUCGAAAGGAAAGUAAUGGCACAGGUAUAGGCGAAAGCAUCCCCUUAUGUGAUAACUGACGUUGAAGGACGAAGGCUUUGAGUCGCGAACAGGAUUAGAUACCCUGGUAGUCAAAGCAGAAAAUAAUGAGUGUCAUAGAUUAGAUAUUAAAGUUUAUUCUAUAAAUGAAAGUGUAAGCACUCCACCUCAAGAGUAAUUUGGCAACAUUGGAACUGAAAUCAUUAGACCGUUUCUGAAACCAGUAGUGAAGUAUGUUGUUUAAUUUGAUAAUCCGCAAAAAACCUUACCACAAUUUGAAUAUUUAUAUCGUUGAUAUAAUUACAAGCGUUGCACGGCUGUCUUCAGUUAAUGUCGUGAGAUUUUGGUUAGAUCCAUUAAAUUAACGCAAGCCCUUACUUUAUUUUAAAAUAAAGUCGUUCCCCACUAGAUUGGAUAAGAUAACAGGGAUUAAGACAAGUCAUCAUGGCCUGAAUAUUGUGGGC
rnacentral:rRNA from 1 species